rnacentral:tRNA from 1 species
GUAUUUUUAGCUUAAGUUAGAGCAUAAUAUUGAAGAUAUUAAGGUGGAAUUAUUUCUUUUGUACA